rnacentral:rRNA from 1 species
UACAGAGGUCUCAAGCGUUGUUCGGAUUCAUUGGGCGUAAAGGGUGUGUAGGUGGCGCGCUAAGUCGGGUGUGAAAUCCUGAGGCUUAACCUCGGAACUGCAUUCGAUACUGCGGCGCUUGAGGACUGGAGAGGAGACUGGAAUUCAUGGUGUAGCAGUGAAAUGCGUAGAGAUCAUGAGGAAGACCAGUGGCGAAGGCGGGGUCUCUGGACAGUUCCUGACGCUGAGGCACGAAGGCCAGGGGGAGCAAAACGGGG